rnacentral:lncRNA from 1 species
AGCCAUGACGUGGAGGUUCUCAAGCGUACCACCGGCUUUCCCAUGCUUACCAAGGUCACACUCAAUCCCUAGUUUUCUUGCAAUCUCAUAGUGACGAUUCUAAUAUCUCUCUCUCUCUCUACCUUAUAGGAUAAGCUACGCGAAAGAAAUGUUUUCGAUACGCUAAGAGACGAUUUCGUGGCUUGUUUCGGGCAAUGGGACUUCGAACCAGCAGAUCUAAACAUCACUGAAGAAAGCUCUGUCCACAUCUGGCAUGGGAAGGAAGACAAAGUAGUCCCGUUUCAACUUCAAAGAUGCAUUCUCCAGAAGCAGCCUUUGAUCAACUACCACGAGAUCCCUCAAGGCGGACAUCUCAUCGUCCACUACGACGGCACUUGCGACGCGAUUCUACGCUCUCUAUUGCUCGGUGAAGAACACAAAAUGUACAAACCAGUUCUUGAUUCUUGAUUCAAAACUGUGACAAUGACAUUAACAUUAAUGUAUAUAAACUGUGUGUUUUGAAUGAAGUAAAUGGAUUAGCAAAAGUUGUACAAAAUGAUAAGCAGAUGAUCAGAUACUACUCGGAUUAUUAUCAUUAUCACUGAUCAGACGAUCGAAACGUCGUGAAUCGUUUGAAACGAGCCUCAACAGAUCAACCGCCUUCUUCCUUCCUUUAUUACUCCCGCUCGUAGUUGUCUUGGAGUCUAGACGAACAUGGCGUCUAGUUGACCACGUACGGUCAUUAAUAAGAUAGUUUCGAGUUUUCUUUUUUUCCUAAACCAUGUUCACACCUUUUUUACAUAACUUUGUCCACAACACAUCUUAUACAUCCUGUCCACAAUACCUUGAAGAUAUGUUCACUUGAUUAACAACUUAAUGAAGAUGAAAGAGAUGAUCUUUAUGGCUUACUACUAGUACAUCUUUUGCAGAGAUGCUUAGUUGAUUAAUGUAUUUUAUUUUAAUAUGGUGGAGAUUGAGUAAGCUCAGGUUUGAUUGUUUCAUAUAUUGCUUGAAGAAGAGAGUCGUAUUUCUAAUUGUGUUCAAAAACAAUUGUUUCUUUCUUCGAUUUCUUGUGACCACAUAUAAGUUUGAUUAUAGUUUUUCUCAAACUUGUUUUGUUUGACACAAUAAUAGCCUCAAAUUGAAUUUUUUGAUGAUGAUAAAUUUGCUCAACUCGUCUUGUUUCUCUUGAAUUACCUAUCCACAAAUUUAAGAAAUCCCAGAUUAUGUACGUUAAAAUUGUUCAUCCACAACUUGCUCUGUCCACAAACAUGUAUCCAUCCAUAUCCACAAACAUUCAUUUAUCCAUCCAUAUCCACAAACAUCUCUUCCUUCUCGUUAAGGGUAAAUUUGUCAAAAAAACGCCUAGGUCCCACCAGAAAGUGUGUCAAAUGUGAGAAGUGUCUCUCAUUGUAAAUGAAAGACAAAAAGUGUUCUACCGUGUAAUCAGCUCUUUUAUAAAAAAAAGAAAAAGAGGUGAAGGAAGAUCCUAACAUAUAUAGUACAACAUAAAGGAAACAGAGUGGCAGAAGAGUGAAAUUAAGACAAAGGAACUUGGCCCAUUUAGUCAUAAAGAUUCCAUUUCGAUUCAGAAAUUGGAGAAGUGGUUCCGUGAUGACUGAACCAUCUGCAAAUCCGUCGUUGUUUGACAAGAUGUUUCGUCACUCAUCAGGUUCCUAUUCAAAAUUAAUUAUAGCCAAAAGUUAAUGAUUAUUUUAUAAUAUAAGAUGUAUAAAAUGAAUUACUAUAAAUGUGACUUACUCUUGUGGUCGAGACAACCAAAGAGAGCUAAGAGCUCUGAGCCGUCCAUAAUACUCCCCGAUGACUAGAAAACAACGUGCAGCUUGGCGAACGGUCAAAAUCCGACGCAGCUGAUGAACAGUCUGCUGCCUCAAGUUUUCAGCCUUCAAUUAAAUUAACAAUGUCAUUGAGAAAAAAAAAACUAAAUGAGCUAUCACAGUUUAUUUGAUUAACAUUUUUAAAGACUCACUAAUUCUUUUGGUAUAAUUAUAAAGAAGAUAACAACGGCACACCUACUGCCUAGUUAAUGGGUACUAGAUGGAUUGUCUCCGCGCAAGCGCGGAGUCGUUGACGUUUUUUCGUUUAUAUAAAUGUGUUAAAAUGCUGAUGUGCUUUUGUUUGGUCUUUGAUUUCUCAAGAUUUGUAUGUGUUUGAGGUUGUUGUUUUGGUUUUGUGAACCAUUUUCGUUAUUAAACCAGAAUGGUAUAUUUGGUGGUGUUUAUUUGAUAUUUUUUUUUUUUGCAACAAUGGUCAUUCUUCCAAAUUUUAUAUUUUUUUAUUUCGUUUAAUUUUUGUUCUCAAAUAAAUUAUUUUUUGAAAAUUAUACUGGUGUGAAAUUUGGAAACUUACACCUGUUUUUAUGAGUUCUAACGGGUUGAAAAUGAAAUAUAUUGUUGCAGACAAAUAAUAAUAUAUUUGGCAUGUAAAAAUGUUGGGUUUGUUAGUCAAUUAAAGAAACGAUGGUGAAGAGUUUGUGGUCAACUUGCAAUAUAUGUAAUUCUGAAUUGUCUCUGAUAAUGAUAAUUGACUGGAGGAUCUAGCUUUCGGUCAUAUUAUAUAAUCGUACGGUCUAGAAGACAUUUUUGGAGGUCCCAUUAUUUAAAAAAAAACAUUUACAGCACUGCCACUACCACUGCUUUUAGCUUAAAAUAAAAUUUUAAGGAAAUUAUUUAUAAAACGAUUUUCAUCCAUUUCCUUAAAUAAUGAAUAUAUAUUUAUUUAAAAUGGGUAUAUAUAACCAUUGCUUAAGAUGUCGUUGAAAACAUUUUAUGUUAUCAUCGCAAUUAUUUGAAUAACAAUUGAUAUAUAUAUAUAUACCUUGCAAAACAAUCCCCAAACCCGUGAAAACCUAACUAUAAGUGUUGCCUCAAUAUAAUAUAUCGUUUACCAUGCAAAAAACAAACCUUAAACCCCAAAUAAAUACAAGUUUACCUACCAAUUUAGAGACUUUUUUUUACAUUCCCUUGAAUUAGUCUGAAGAGUAACCACAUGAUCUGAAGAAUGAUUGAUAUCAUGUAAAGAGAUGUCAUUUACAGCACUGCCACUACCACUGCUUUUAGCUUAAAAUAAAAUUUUAAGGAAAUUAUUUAUAAAACGAUUUUCAUCCAUUUCCUUAAAUAAUGAAUAUAUAUUUAUUUAAAAUGGGUAUAUAUAACCAUUGCUUAAGAUGUCGUUGAAAACAUUUUAUGUUAUCAUCGCAAUUAUUUGAAUAACAAUUGAUAUAUAUAUAUAUACCUUGCAAAACAAUCCCCAAACCCGUGAAAACCUAACUAUAAGUGUUGCCUCAAUAUAAUAUAUCGUUUACCAUGCAAAAAACAAACCUUAAACCCCAAAUAAAUACAAGUUUACCUACCAAUUUAGAGACUUUUUUUUACAUUCCCUUGAAUUAGUCUGAAGAGUAACCACAUGAUCUGAAGAAUGAUUGAUAUCAUGUAAAGAGAUGUCUUAACACACAAAAAGCACAAAAUAACAUAGUAAUAGUACUCGGAUAAAUCACUGAUCAACGAGUGGUCGAAGAAGAGCGGAUGCCACGUUUCCUGUAGACAUCGAUCCCCAAACGCCAGGCUCCGCAAACACCUAAACGUUUCUUGAGCAGUGCAAAUCUCUUCUUGUCUUUUUUUUUCUUCUUCUUCUCCUUCUCCUCAGAAAAGCUCCAAUGCUUACCUUGGAAAGUCAAUGAUCGUGAAGACUCAUCGUAGACCCGUCUAAUGAUGGCUUUGCGGUAACACGGCUCACCAAGCCGAUCCUUGGCCAAGUCUUUGUAUACCAUGUAGACGACAACGCUCUUGGAGUCGAGUCUCGGCGGAUCCGCAUCACUGAGACUUCGAAUGGCCACUUGCUCAAUGUAGAAAUCAGAGAGUUGGCUCUGCAAAAAAAAAAAGACAAUAGAAAAUUUCAUGAUCGGCAAUAAUCAAUAGAACAAACAACAAUGCAAAAAAAAUAAAAUAAAACUUACCUCAGUCAUACCCCUAUCGCAGGUACUGUGUGCAAGAUCCAAAUACAAACGAACCCAAUCAGUGUUUCGCAGCUCGUGUUCAUUCAACUACAGAAGUCAAUGAAAACACACAUGAAUAGGGGAAAUCAAAAUUGUGUUUAGUAGGUGUUAAUUCAAUUGUGUUUACCUUGUAAAAACGCCGCUGGGCAAACAUCUCUGAGGAGGGCCAGCGAGGCAGAGGACUACAUGUGUAGGUUGGUCGGCAAAGUCGAGGCUGCUCCUCUGAACAUCGGGGUCUAGCUAUGGGGACCGAGAUAUCCAGACAACCAAUGCGGUUUUCACUAACAAGCGCAUGGAAAGGAAGCGUACGACCAGAAUCUGGACAGUCUGCAAACAGGGUGAGGUAGUACGGGGCAGCCCCGAAAGUCAUACCCCUGUUGUAACUUUGUAAGAGAGAGAACCCGUAGUUAGUCCCCUGAAACAAAAUAAUUUCAAUGAAUCAGAAAGGAAUUGAUAAAGAAUGAUGUAAAACAAUUGAAAACAGGAUUAUUACCUCCAAAAAAUUGUAACGAUGAAGUCCCAACUGGGCAUAAACCUUAACAAACGCUUCAUCUUCAGGGUGCCAGUACCGCGCGUGCUCAAAGUGUCUCAACCGAUAAGAUGAGAUUGGACCAUCAGUGGGUAAAUCAAAACCCUAAUUAAGGAAUAAAAUUAUCAAUUUAGGUUUGCAAUUUCUUACCAAACAAAUCAAAUCAUAGACGAGAUUCCAACAAAAAAGGAAAGAAAAACUUACAUCGAACUUUAUUACUUGCGGACGACCGUCUUCUCCCUCUCCUCUUUGGCAAGCCAUGAGAUUGUUUUUCUUAAGUUACGUUUUGAUCGAUACUUGAUCAAUUUGAUAUGCGGCUCGUUCCUCGGGGUUUGAUAGAUAGAUCUAUUUGAAGUUGCGCCUGAUUUCGGGGUUUGAUAGAUAGAUCUAUUUGAAGUUGCCCCUGAUUUAGGGUUUAUGUGAACAUAUUUUGGGUUAGGUUUUGUCUCAGAGUUUUGGAAUCUAUCGUCAGAGUUUUGGAGUCUAUCGUGUGAUAAUGUGUUGUAAUUAGAGAGUUUAGAGACUAAAUAUUUAUGUGUUAUUAUUAAUGAUCAAUGAGGUUCAUUUAUAUAAAGAUUACAAGAUGAAAGAUAAAUGGAAAGUAUCCAAAACCUAAAUUUACUAGGAUUAGGAAAACUACUAAUACAUAAUAAAUGAUAGGAAAAGGAAUUUUCCAACCUUUGUGGCCCCGUAUCUCUCCUCUCUCUAGGAUUCGACCAUCUCUCUAUCUUCUAGGUAUUGGACCGGUCUUGGACCGGACCUAAUUAAUGGCAAUCCAUUCCAUGAUUUAUAACAUCAGUUUAAUAUUUAGUUUUAUAAAAAAUUAAAUUAUUGACUUAAAUACAAAUUUAAAUUAGGAUUAUAAAUUAUAAAACAUUAAUAUCAUGUUGAUAAUCAAUGUAUUAUUUUUUUAUGUUUAUUUUUUUAUUUAUGGGAAAUAAAUUUUGGAUCAAAAUAUUUUUUAUAAUCUAUACUAUUAUUUGAGAAGUGAAAGUGCUUAGUUGUCAUCUUUCCAUAAUUUUAGGAUAAGUCAUUAGUUUAAUUAAUAUUUUUAUUUAAAAUUAUAUAUAUGUAUUUGAGAAGUAAAAGUGCUUAGUUGUCAUCUUUCCAUAAUUUUAGGAUAAGUCAUUAGUUUAAUUAAUAUUUUUAUUUAAAAUUAUAUAUAUGUAUUUGAGAAGUAAAAGUGCUUAGUUGUCAUCUUUCCAUAAUUUUAGGAUAAGUCAUUAGUUUAAUUAAUAUUUUUAUUUAAAAUUAUAUAUAUGUGUGUAUAUAUAUAUCUAUAUGUAUUUAUCAUGAUAUUUAAGAUAUUCAAUAAACAUUAAACCAUUCUACCGAUAUAUAUACUAUUAUUUUGAAAAUAUAUUUAAUAUAUAUAUAUAUAUAUAUAUUUAUCAUGAUAUUUAGGACAUUUAAUUAAUAAAUAUAUAUUAACAACUGAUAUUAACAAUAUCUACCGAUAAUAUCAUAUACGUUUAGAUUAAAGGUAAAUAUUGAUCCAAAUACAUAUAAUUACAAUAUUAAAGUUUAGAUUAAAGGUAAAGCAUCAUUGAAAAUAUGUAGUAAAAUAUAAAUUAUAUACUUAUGUUAAGUAUUUUUUAUAUAUUUAAUAUUAAACAAUCGUAUGGAAACAAUUCCCGAUUAAUAUAUCGUCUAAGGGGAAGAAGUAUUCGUCAACGUAAGACUCUUUUGUAGUGCCACCGGAGGUAGAGAGACAUUCGUAACGCCGCCGAGUUCGUUUUUUCAUCAUAGCUUUAAACGCCAUUGGAAUAAAACCAUCCAUUGAAUACUAUUAUUAGGGUUGACUUGUUAUGUGUGUAUGAUUGUUGAAGGAAGAAGAAUGAAACAAAGAACAAGAGGAGAAGAAGAAGAAGAAAGUGGUUUUGUUGUUUUUUAUGUGGGGGAAGUUGGGAGGUUUAUGGUUUGGGUAGUGGUUCUGUUGAUCACACACACUCACACACAGCUGCCAUCAAUUUCUGGCGUCUAUCUUUCUUUUCCUUAUAUAUAUUUCUAUUAUCCAGUCUACUUCAACAGCCAUGACGUGGAGGUUCUCAAGCGUACCACCGGCUUUCCCAUGCUUACCAAGGUCACACUCAAUCCCUAGUUUUCUUGCAAUCUCAUAGUGACGAUUCUAAUCUCUCUCUCUCUCUCUACCUUAUAGGAUAAGCUACGCGAAAGAAAUGUUUUCGAUACGCUAAGAGACGAUUUUGUGGCUUGUUUCGGGCAAUGGGACUUCGAACCAGCGGAUCUAAACAUCACUGAAGAAAGCUCUGUCCAC